GAAUGGUCAGCUAGAAAUCGUUGGAGGUAGCUGGGUGAUGAAUGAUGAGGAAAUAAAUGGAUGUUUCUGAACCUGUGGCCUAUUUUUUCCUUAGCUUGGUAUUACCGAAGGAAGAGGACCCCAACUUUAGUUGAUAGAAAUAAAAGUUUGCUGGGCAAUUUUUGCGAAAUUUAGAGGUAUGUUGUAGAGUAGUUUUUGGUUUCGGUGAUCAUCUAUAAUAUUUAUUCUUUAACAAUGUAUGUAUGGUUGUCCCUCUUUCUCCAAGUUUGCUUCUAAUUCAGUUUCUCAACUAUUAUAGUGUUUUCCUUUGAUAACUAUAUGUUUCAUUUUUCCAUUCAUGCAUAAGCCUACAUGACUCAGAAUUGAAAAAAGAUACUGAUCAAAUUUUAAAUUGGUGCUCUGUUGAUUGAUAUAUAUUUUUAUUUUGUCGUUGGAUCAGUGAAAAUGAAGUUUCAAAUGGAAACACAUGUGCUUGUUUGACCUAGACUGAUAUAACAUGUAAAGUUUGACAUACAAUUUCGUUUAGCAUGGCUUGCAGUUUCUUUGCAUUGAUGUCCCCCAAACUGCAUUUACUGGAUUGUUUGCUUUCCUGAGAUACAAAACUUACUACUAGAAAAGAGGAAAAGAGGUACUAGAAAAGAGGAUAAUUGGGGAUGUUUAUGCUUUGGUGACUUAGAAGUAGUGACUUUGCCAAGAUUAGCCACCUGAUAGCUUACUUUAUAUACGUCAUAGAACUAGUAAAAUGCUUUUAUAUGUGCUCUAACCAAAUAGGUGGGAUGAAAGUUAGCACUUGUGGGAUAAAAUUUAUUGUCAUGGAACUGCUAAUGUCAUGCUUAACUUUUUCUGUCUUACCACUCAUGGGAUAGAAUUUACACAAUUUAUAUUGCUUGUUAUGGACAGAUGCUGUUGAUUUUGUGUUGAAAUGUUAUAGGAAAGCUCAAUGUUAUCAGCUGGGCGACAAGAACAAAAACUCAGUAGAGAUUAGAGAAGCCAAAGGACAUGGUAUUCGAAAUCAGAAGAAACAGAUGCAAAGGAAGUUACGUUUGAAGAAGAAGAGCUAGAUUAAUUCCCUUUGUUGUAGUUAGGUAACUUAAUUUAAAUCUGUUCCAAAUUUGGUCCCUUGGUCUCAUGAGGUGUACGAUGACUACAAUUCUAUUGCUGUAGGAUAUUGGAUUUGCUUAUGAAUCAAUUUAU
rnacentral:lncRNA from 1 species